rfam:Caldisalinibacter kiritimatiensis strain L21-TH-D2 NODE_9, whole genome shotgun sequence.
AUAACCUUUAAAUUAGCCCCGUGAGGCUAAGAAGGUAAUAAAUAUUCUAUGUAUAGGAUAAAAUAUACCUAGGGAUAUUUGUACCUUCUUGCCCACGUGCAGAAGGUUUUUCUAUU